AUUGAACGCUGGCGGCAGGCCUAACACAGGCAAGUCGAACGAGUGGCGGACGGGUGAGCAAUGUCUGGGAAACUGCCUUAUGGAGGGGGAUCACUACUGGAAACGGUAGCUAAUACCGCAUACCAUCGGAUGUGCCCAAAUGGGAUUAGCUAGUAGGUGGGGUAACGGCUCACCUAGGCGACGAUCCCUAGCUGGUCUGAGAGGAGGACCAGCCACACUGGAACGGAGACACGGUCCAGACUCCUACGGGAGGCAGCAGUGGGGAAUAUUGCACAAUGGGCGCAAGCCUGAUGCAGCCAUGCCGCGUGUAUGAAGAAGGCCUUCGGGUUGUAAAGUACUUUCAGCGGGGAGGCGUUACCCGCAGAAGAAGCACCGGCUAACUCCGUGCCAGCCGCCGCGGUAAUUC
rnacentral:rRNA from 1 species